rnacentral:rRNA from 1 species
GGCCUUGACAUACUAAGAACUUUCCAGAGAUGGAUUGGUGCCUUCGGGAACUUAGAUACAGGUGCUGCAUGGCUGUCGUCAGCUCGUGUCGUGAGAUGUUGGGUUAAGUCCCGCAACGAGCGCAACCCUUUUCCUAUUUGCCAGCGGGUCAUGCCGGGAACUUUAAGGAUACUGCCAGUGACAAACUGGAGGAAGGCGGGGACGACGUCAAGUCAUCAUGGCCCUUACGGCCAGGGCUACACACGUGCUACAAUGGUCGGUACAAAGGGUUGCUACCUCGCGAGAGGAUGCUAAUCUCAAAAAGCCGAUCGUAGUCCGGAUCGCAGUCUGCAACUCGACUGCGUGAAGUCGGAAUCGCUAGUAAUCGCGGAUCAGAAUGCCGCGGUGAAUACGUUCCCGGGCCUUGUACACACCGCCCGUCACACCAUGGGAGUUUGUUGCACCAGAAGUAGGUAGUCUAACCGCAAGGAGGACGCUUACCACGGUGUGGCCGAUGACUGGGGUGAAGUCGUAACAAGGUAAGCGUAGAUGA